rnacentral:snoRNA from 1 species
NNNUGGGUUUGGAUUGUGGUGGGUCCGAUCCCAUGGGCCUCUCACAGUGUCCAUGCCAAAGCAAACUGUCACCCCAAACUAUUGCCUGGCUUUCCUGGUAGGCUUAAGGCACUGAAGUGGGUUGCAUAGUA